AUUGAACGCUGGCGGCAGGCCUAACACAUGCAAGUCGAGCGAGCGGCGGGCGGGUGAGUAAUGCUUAGGAACCUGCUUAUCAGUUGGGGACAACAUCUCGAAAGGGAUGCUAAUACCGCACACUAAUAGUUGAGCCUAAGUCGGAUUAGCUAGUUGGUGGGGUAAAGGCCUACCAAGGCGACGAUCUGUAGCGGGUCUGAGAGGAUGAUCCGCCAAACUGGAACUGAGACACGGCCCAGACUCCUACGGGAGGCAGCAGUGGGGAAUAUUGGACAAUGGGGGAAACCCUGAUCCAGCAAGGCCGCGUGUGUGAAGAAGGCUUCGGGUUGUAAAGCACGUUCAGCGGGGAGGCGUUACCCGAAGAAGAAGCACCGGCUAACUCCGUGCCAGCAGCCGCGGUAAUUC
rnacentral:rRNA from 1 species